CAGCAGCCGCGGUAAUACGGAGGGGGCUAGCGUUGUUCGGAAUUACUGGGCGUAAAGUGCACGUAGGCGGCUUGGUAAGUUAGAGGUGAAAGCCCGGAGCUCAACUCCGGAAUUGCCUUUAAGACUGCCGAGCUAGCAGGUGAGAGAGGUAAGUGGAAUUCCGAGUGUAGAGGUGAAAUUCGUAGAUAUUCGGAAGAACACCAGUGGCGAAGGCGGCUUACUGGCUCAUACUGGACGCUGAGGUGCGAAAGCGUGGGGAGCAAACAGGAUUAGAUACCUCAGUAGUCCCUGUCUCUUAUAC
rnacentral:rRNA from 1 species